UACGUAGGGGGGCAAGCGUUGUCCGGAAUCAUUGGGCGUAAAGAGCGUGUAGGCCGCUCGGUAAGUCCGCUGUGAAAGCCCGGGGGCUCAACCCCCGGGAUGCCGGUGGAUACUGCCGGGCUAGAGUCCGGAAGAGGCGAGUGGAAUUCCUGGUGUAGCGGUGAAAUGCGCAGAUAUCAGGAGGAACACCAAUUGCGAAGGCAGCUCGCUGGGACGGUACUGACGCUGAGACGCGAAAGCGUGGGGAGCAAACAGG
rnacentral:rRNA from 1 species